GGCGGGCGGGCGGGCGGGCGCGCGGCCCGGGGCGACGCGUGUGGACUGAGCUGAUAACAUGAAGAAAUUAGCAGGCGAGACAGUGCAGUAGCAGUGAUGACACAUGACCGACGCGGCAAGGUGCCAGAGCGGUAAGAUUGAAGUUUAAUUUGGUAUCUGUCCGGACUUUGUUCACUUCAUCCUGGGCAGAGGGCAGAGGACAAAAAGAAUGAAAAGGUCAGUGUAAGAAAUCUGAACCUCCUGAGGGCUUAAACUGGGGACUGCCUGCUGUCUAUCCCAAGGGAGCCAGCCCAGGAGGGACAUGCCAGAGGCCUCGGAGACAGGGACUCAGGAGCAACCAUCUCUUAAAUCAGCUCUGUGUCUGGCCCUCCCAGUUAUCUGCACAGAUAAUCCCAUCUGAGCUGAACAUCAGCCUGCCAGGGCUCAGCUGUUUUAACCUCAAGACUCUCCUUAUGACCUCCCUCAUGGAAUCUGUGAAUAAAAUUCUUUAGACCAUUUGAGAAGCAAAGAUGGACCAAAGGACAAAUACUCAACUCUACUUAUAAAAAGCUGUCUCACUAAGACUCACCAAAAUCUUUCUAAUGCCACUGUUCUUUCCUACUUUACAAAGUGACCAGUUGCUGGGCGAGCAACCAUCUAAACCCACAUGGAAUCCUAUAAAGCCACCCUCUGCUAGAAGGGUCUCUUUAGAGCAGUUUUGAUUUACCAUGACUUAGCCAGGAGUGGUGGCAGAGGCGAGCAACCCCAGCACUCAGGAGACACAGAGGAAGAUGGAGAGCUGGAGUUACACACUGAGACCCUUUCUCAAGAAAGAAAAACGUACCCUCCUACAAUACAAUUUCUUUAAUGAAUGUGGCCAUAGACAAGGGUAACUGAUACAUCACCUGAUGUAUGCUUUGAAAUAUAUUGCACAAAUUCACAGAAUUGAGUUCUCCAGCACAUACGAUGUAUUUGUGACAUUUUAUCUAUUAGUAAAUGUAUGUGAUUACAUACACGCCUGAGGACAGGAAAGAGA